rnacentral:sRNA from 1 species
UUUGACCAACUUUCCGGCCCUGGGUGGACGUUGCCGACCUCCCUGGGCCAGUCCGAAGGCCUCACUGAGCCAUUCAAUCGGUAGUAGCGACGGGCGGUGUGUACAAAGGGCAGGAAAGUAAACUUUCAACAACGGAUCUCUUGGUUCUGGCAUCGAUGAAGAACGCAGCGAAAUGCGAUAAGUAAUGUGAAUUGCAGAAUUCAGUGAAUCAUCGAAUCUUUGAACGCACAUUGCGCCCUUUGGUAUUCCGAAGGGCAUGCCUGUUCGAGCGUCAUUUCACCACUCAAGCCUGGCUUGGUAUUGGGCGUCGCGGUUCUUCGCGCGCCUUAAAGNCUUCCGGCUGAGCUGUCCGUCUCUAAGCGUUGUGGAUUUUUCAAUUCGCUUCGGAGUGCGGGUGGCCACGGCCGUUAAAUCUUUACUCAAAGGUUGACCUCGGAUCA